CAAGUCGCGUGCGCAGUUGCCGUAGCAAUACGGUGAUGGGCGCACGGCGCACGGGUGCGUAACACGUGGGCAAUCUGCCCUCCGAUGGGGAAUAACCCCGCGAAAGCGGGGCUAAUACCGCAUAACAUUCCUUGAGCGAUGGUUCGAGGAUUCAAAGCAGUAAUGCGUCGGAGGAGGAGCCCGCGCCCGAUUAGCUAGUUGGUGAGGUAACGGCUCACCAAGGCAAUGAUCGGUAGCUGGUCUGAGAGGAUGAUCAGCCACACUGGAACUGAGACACGGUCCAGACUCCUACGGGAGGCAGCAGUGGGGAAUCUUGCACAAUGGGCGAAAGCCUGAUGCAGCGACGCCGCGUGGGGGAUGAAGCUUUUCGGAGUGUAAACCCCUUUCGCCUGGGACGAAUGCCCGCAAGGGAGUGACGGUACCAGGAUAAGAAGCCCCGGCUAACUACGUGCCAGCAGCCGCGGUAAGACGUAGGGGGCCAGCGUUGUUCGGAAUUACUGGGUGUAAAGGGUUCGUAGGCGGUGUGGCAAGUCGGGAGUGAAAUCUCUGGGCUCAACCCAGAGGCUGCUUCCGAAACUGCUGUGCUUGAGUGUGAGAGAGGCUCGUGGAAUUGCAGGUGUAGCGGUGAAAUGCGUAGAUAUCUGCAGGAACACCCGUGGCGAAAGCGGCGAGCUGGAUCACUACUGACGCUGAGGAACGAAAGCUAGGGGAGCAAACAGGAUUAGAUACCCUGGUAGUCCUAGCCCUAAACGAUCAGGACUUGGGGUGCCGCCCGUUCGGGCGUCGUCCCGGAGCUAACGCGUUAAGUCCUGCACCUGGGGAGUACGGUCACAAGACUGAAACUCAAAGGAAUUGAC
rnacentral:rRNA from 1 species